GAUCAUGGCUCAGGAUGAACGCUGGCGGCGUGCUUAACACAUGCAAGUCGAACGAGGGUUUUAACGAAGUUUCGGAUGGAAGUUAGAACUUAGUGGCGGACGGGUGAGUAACGCGUGGGUAACCUGCCUCAUACAGGGGGAUAACAGUUAGAAAUGACUGCUAACACUGCAUAAUAUAGCGAAACCGCAUGAUUUUGCUAUCAAAUAUUUAUAGGUAUGAGAUGGGCCCGCGUCUGAUUAGCUAGUUGGUGGGGUAAAGGCCUACCAAGGCGACGAUCAGUAGCCGGCUUGAGAGAGUGACCGGCCACAUUGGGACUGAGACACGGCCCAAACUCCUACGGGAGGCAGCAGUGGGGAAUAUUGGACAAUGGGGGAAACCCUGAUCCAGCGAACCGCCGCGUGAGUGAAGAAGUAUUUCGGUAUGUAAAGCUCUAUCAGCAGGGAAGAUAAUGACAGUACCUGACUAAGAAGCCCCGGCUAACUACGUGCCAGCCGCUGC
rnacentral:rRNA from 1 species